AAAUAAAAUACCACCUACAGUCCAACUUAACCAAGGAGCAAUAUAUGCACUCUGUCGUGCAUUGCAUAUUUUAAUCAAGUCAGUACCAUUUUUACAAUGCAAACACACCUGCUUUCAAUGCAAAUAAGGCUCAUCAUAGAAUGCAGCGUAUUCACAGACGUCAGCACUCUUUGCCUGCUGCAAUUAAUGUUGUGCUAUAAGUGGAAAGUAGGGUGGAAAGCAGACUGAAAGCAGAGUUUAGUGACAGCAAGGCAACAAUAAUUCAUCAAAUUAUUGUCAAAUGAAGGUGACUGGUGUUAUAAACAAGCAUACAUCCAGACAACGUUUUUAGGUGAGCCUGAAUUUUCUCAAUGUAAAGAAUGAUAGCUGGACUUCAGUGGUGGCCUGAUGUUCUAAAUAUAGAUAUAUUGCAUUUGUAUCCUCAAAUACCAAAGGAACUGCACCAUGUAAAUUCCAAUUUUGAUAUUUUUUAAGAAAUGGUUUAUGUAGUGAUUGAAGUAUUUGACUGAUAAUACGUUUACAUGUAAAGAUUUUAUUUCUUGAGAUUUCUCUGUGCAAAACGAUGACUUGUCUCUGUGCCUAUGACCUUUUAUAGAGUUGGGACGCCUUGGCAGGUCUUCAUCCACAUCAGGAGUGAGACAAGUAGGGGGUGACGUACACAGACAGAGCAGUCUGCCGGCCAGAGAAGCACUCAACCAGAUCCACGCUCUAUCGCAGGUUCAGUCUCAGGCUCCGUGCAGUCCGUCUCUGAGCCGGCAGCAGCAGUACCAGCAUCAGCAGCAGGUCCAGCUUCAGUUCCAGCAGUUGGCUCAGCUGGCGGCGCAGGCACAGGUGCCUAUCAGUGGGGGCUCAGCCGGCUCCUCCGCAGCCCCGGCCCAGCGUGAUGGCAAACUCCUGGAAGUGAUUGAACGAAAGCGCUGCCUAUGUAAGGAGAUUAAGGCUCAUCGCCGGCCAGAUAAGAGCUUAUGUAAGCAGGACAGUAUGCCUAUUUUACCCAGCUGGAGGAGGACGCCGGAGCCCCGCAAGACAGGAACGCCGCCCUGCCAGAGGCCACAGGCUGUGGUGUGGGACACUGCUAUCUGACCGAGGCAUAUAGAGCAAAACAGAGGGUAGGGAGUGAAAAAGAUAUAACUGAGAAAGACAGAAAUCUUUUCGUUUUCUUUUUCUUUCUUUUUUAUUGCAUGGGAAAGACAAAUGGGAGUUUUGGGGGGAAUUAGAGAAGUGGCCUUUGAGUGAAGAGAUUUAAGAAAGACAAAGCCGGAGCGUUUUGCUGAGAGAAUAAAAUGAUAUAGACAAAAUCUCUCCGGAGAAGCGGGAGGAAAUGUCCACACAGUGUUUAUGUGCCAUAUAAAAGCAGCAGCCGAACACACACACACACAUUGGAGAGCCGUCUGAGUCUGAACUCUCCCUGACCUGCUGCGAAUAUAACCUCUGCUGCUGAGUUUACAACCUUUUUUGAAACACACUGGAAACCUUUGGAGCAUCGUGGCGGUCGUACUCUGAAUAUAAACCGUUAGAGAGGAGAAUAGACUUGCUUUUUCCUUCUAUGGAUCACAGAAUUGAUCAUAACUCGAUGUGUGAAGAUUGAAGAGAUGCUGAAAGAUCAUAGCGGGGCUUUUCUUCAUAUCAUAAACUCUCUUUGACUUUGGCUUGUGCGUUUUUACUGACCAGAUUUACUCCGUUAUGCUGCUGUUUCCUGGGCAUCCACUAGACUGACGAUUUUUUUUUUUUACUUUCCAGAAGAGAGAGAGAGUAUGUGUGUAAGUGUGUGUGCGUGCGUGUGUGCGUGAUUGGGUAUGUGCGCGGGUGUGUGUGUGUGUGUGUCAUGGUGAACUUUGUAGAUGUAUCUUUGCAUUAGAGGUUUGUGAGGUUGGAUGCAGAGCGGAGACAACGAGUCAAUAAAACACAAAAUCUGACAUGUA